AACGAACGCUGGCGGCAUGCCUAACACAUGCAAGUCUAACGAGACCUUCGGGUCUAGUGGCGCACGGGUGCGUAACGCGUGGGAACCUGCCCUUAGGUUCGGAAUAACUCCCCGAAAGGGGUUCUAAUACCGGAUAAUGUCUUCGGACCAAAGAUUUAUCGCCUUUGGAUGGGCACGCGUUGGAUUAGCUAGUUGGUAGGGUAAAAGCCUACCAAGGCGACGAUCCAUAGCUGGUCUGAGAGGAUGAUCAGCCACACUGGGACUGAGACACGGCCCAGACUCCUACGGGAGGCAGCAGUGGGGAAUAUUGGACAAGGGGCGAAAGCCUGAGCCAGCAAUGCCGCGUGAGUGAUGAAGGCCUUAGGGUUGUAAAGCUCUUUUACACGGGAUGAUAAUGACAGUACCGGGAGAAUAAGCUCCGGCUAACUCCGUG
rnacentral:rRNA from 1 species